UUGCUAUGAUGACUUUUCUUAGGACACCUUUGGAUUCACUGUGAAAAGAAACUUAUAUUCUGAGCAAU
ensembl:snoRNA SNORD58 Small nucleolar RNA SNORD58